GAAUUGUUCGCAAUGGGCGCAAGCCUGACGACGCAACGCCGCGUGGAGGAUGAAGGUCUUCGGAUUGUAAACUCCUGUUGCCCGGGACGAAAUGUUCCAGCCUACUACGCUGGACUUUGACGGUACCGGGUGAGGCAGCCCCGGCUAACUCUCUGCCAGCCGCCGCGGUAAUACAGAGGGGGCGGGCGUUGUUCGGAAUUACUGGGCGUAAAGGGCGCGGAGGCGGCCUGCUAAGUCGAACGUGAAAUCCCUGGGCUCAACCCAGGAACUGCGUCCGAUACUGGUUGGCUUGAAUCCGGGAGAGGGAUGUGGAAUUCCAGGUGUAGCGGUGAAAUGCGUAGAUAUCUGGAGGAACACCGGUGGCGAAGGCGACAUCCUGGACCGGCAUUGACGCUGAGGCGCGAAAGCCAGGGGAGCAAACGGG
rnacentral:rRNA from 1 species